GACGAACGCUGGCGGCGUGCCUAAUACAUGCAAGUAGAACGCUGAAGAGAGGAGCUUGCCCUUCUUGGAUGAGUUGCGAACGGGUGAGUAACGCGUAGGUAACCUGCCUUGUAGCGGGGGAUAACUAUUGGAAACGAUAGCUAAUACCGCAUAACAAUGGAUGACACAUGUCAUUUAUUUGAAAGGGGCAAUUGCUCCACUACAAGAUGUACCUGCGUUGUAUUAGCUAGUAGGUGAGGUAAUGGCUCACCUAGGCGACGAUACAUAGCCGGCCUGGGAGGGUGAACCGCCAAAACUGGAACGGGACACGGCCCAGGCCCCCAAGGGGGGGAGCAGGAGGGAAACUUCGGCAAUGGGGGCAACCCUGACCGAGCAACGCCGGGUGGGUGAAGGAGGGUUUCGGAUUGGAAAACUCUGUUGUAAGGGAAGAAAGGGGGUGAGAGUAGAAAGUGCACACAGUGACGGUAGCUUACCAGAAAGGGACGGCUAACUACGUG
rnacentral:rRNA from 1 species